CUGCUAUUGGCAGCACAUAUACUCAAGCUGGAACGACACAGUGAAUAUUGGCGUGGCCUCUGCGCAAGGAUGACACGCAAAUGUGCAUAGGCGCCACACUCACAG